UACGUAGGGUGCGAGCGUUAAUCGGAAUUACUGGGCGUAAAGCGUGCGCAGGCGGUUUUGUAAGCCAGAUGUGAAAUCCCCGGGCUUAACCUGGGAAUGGCAUUUGGGACUGCAAGGCUUGAGUGUGGCAGAGGAGACUGGAAUUCCUGGUGUAGCAGUGAAAUGCGUAGAUAUCAGGAGGAACACCGAUGGCGAAGGCAGGUCUCUGGGCUAACACUGACGCCCAUGCACGAAAGCGUGGGGAGCAAACAGG
rnacentral:rRNA from 1 species